CAAUAGCGUAUAUUUAAGUUGUUGCAGUUAAAAGCUCGUAGUUGGAUUUCGGUUGAGAACGGCCGGUCCGCCGUUUGGUGUGCACUGGCUGGUCUCAACUUCCUGUAGAGGACGCGCUCUGGGUUAACGCUCGGACGCGGAGUCUACGUGGUUACUUUGAAAAAUUAGAGUGUUCAAAGCGGGCUUACGCUUGAAUAUUUCAGCAUGGAAUAACACUAUAGGACUCCUGUCCUAUUUCGUUGGUCUCGGGACGGGAGUAAUGAUUAAGAGGAACAGUUGGGGGGCAUUCGUAUUUCAUUGUCAGAGGUGAAAUUCUUUAACUGGCUCAUGACGAACCACUGCGAAAGCAUUUGCCAAGAAUGUUUUCAUUAAUCAAGAACGAAAGUCAGAGGGUCGAAGACGAUCAGAU
rnacentral:rRNA from 1 species